rnacentral:rRNA from 1 species
GACGAACGCUGGCGGCGUGCCUAAUACAUGCAAGUAGAACGCUGAAGGAGGAGCUUGCUCUUCUGGAUGAGUUGCGAACGGGUGAGUAACGCGUAGGUAACCUGCCUGGUAGCGGGGGAUAACUAUUGGAAACGAUAGCUAAUACCGCAUAAUAUUGACUAUUGCAUGAUAGUCAAUUGAAAGGUGCAAAUGCACCACUACCAGAUGGACCUGCGUUGUAUUAGCUAGUUGGUGGGGUAACGGCUCACCAAGGCGACGAUACAUAGCCGACCUGAGAGGGUGAUCGGCCACACUGGGACUGAGACACGGCCCAGACUCCUACGGGAGGCAGCAGUAGGGAAUCUUCGGCAAUGGACGGAAGUCUGGCCGAGCAACGCCGCGUGAGUGAAGAAGGUUUUCGGAUCGUAAAGCUCUGUUGUAAGAGAAGAACGAGUGUGAGAGUGGAAAGUUCAC